GACGAACGCUGGCGGCGUGCUUAACACAUGCAAGUCGAACGGAAAGGCCCUGCUUUUGUGGGGUGCUCGAGUGGCGAACGGGUGAGUAACACGUGAGUAACCUGCCCUUGACUUUGGGAUAACUUCAGGAAACUGGGGCUAAUACCGGAUAGGAGCUCCUGCUGCAUGGUGGGGGUUGGAAAGUUUCGGCGGUUGGGGAUGGACUCGCGGCUUAUCAGCUUGUUGGUUGGGUAGUGGCUUACCAAGGCUUUGACGGGUAGCCGGCCUGGGAGGGUGACCGGACACGUUAGGACUGAGAUAAGACACAGACUCCUACGGGAGGCAGCAGUGGGGAGUGUUGCACAGUGGGAGGAAGCCUGAUGCAGCAAAGCAGCGCGCGGGAUGACGGCAAUCGGGUUGUAAUCCACUUUCGCCUGUGACGAAGCGUGAGUGACAGUAAUGGGUGAAGAAGCACCGGCUAACUACGUG
rnacentral:rRNA from 1 species